rnacentral:rRNA from 1 species
GACGAACGCUGGCGGCGUGCCUAACACAUGCAAGUCGAACGCAGUGGGGACGGGUGAGUAACCCGUGGGUAACCUCCCAUCAGAGGGGAUAACACUUGGAAACAGGUGCUAAACCGAUACUGAUGGAUGGAGCCGCGGUGCAUUAGCUAGUGGGUGAGGUAACGGCUCACCAAGGCAACGAUGCGUAGCCGGCCUGAGAGGGUGAUCAGCCACACUGGGACUGAGACACGGCCCAGACUCCUACGGGAGGCAGCAGUGGGGAAUCUUCGGCAAUGGACGAAAGUCUGACCGAGCAACGCCGCGUGGGUGAAGAAGGUUUUCGGAUCGUAAAGCUCUGUUGUUAGAAAAGCGGUAUCUAACCAAAAAGCCACGGCUAACUACGUGCCAGCCGCCGCGGUAAUAC